CCUACGGGUGGCUGCAGUGGGGAAUAUUGGACAAUGGGCGAAAGCCUGAUCCAGCCAUGCCGCGUGUGUGAAGAAGGCCUUCGGGUUGUAAAGCACUUUCAGUGGGGAAGAAAGCCUUGGGGCUAAUACCCUCGAGGAAGGACAUCACCCACAGAAGAAGCACCGGCUAACUCCGUGCCAGCAGCCGCGGUAAUACGGAGGGUGCGAGCGUUAAUCGGAAUUACUGGGCGUAAAGCGCGCGUAGGCGGUCUGAUAAGCCGGUUGGGAAAGCCCCGGGCUCAACCUGGGAACGGCAUCCGGAACUGUCAGGCUAGAGUGCAGGAGAGGAAGGUAGAAUUCCCGGUGUAGCGGUGAAAUGCGUAGAGAUCGGGAGGAAUACCAGUGGCGAAGGCGGCCUUCUGGACUGACACUGACGCUGAGGUGCGAAAGCGUGGGUAGCAAACAGGAUUAGAUACCCUGGUAGUC
rnacentral:rRNA from 1 species